rnacentral:rRNA from 1 species
GUGAACGCUGGCGGUAGGCCUAACACAUGCAAGUCGAACGGCAGCACAGUAAGAGCUUGCUCUUACGGGUGGCGAGUGGCGGACGGGUGAGGAAUACAUCGGAAUCUACUUUUUCGUGGGGGAUAACGUAGGGAAACUUACGCUAAUACCGCAUACGACCUACGGGUGAAAGCAGGGGAUCUUCGGACCUUGCGCGAUUGAAUGAGCCGAUGUCGGAUUAGCUAGUUGGCGGGGUAAAGGCCCACCAAGGCGACGAUCCGUAGCUGGUCUGAGAGGAUGAUCAGCCACACUGGAACUGAGACACGGUCCAGACUCCUACGGGAGGCAGCAGUGGGGAAUAUUGGACAAUGGGCGCAAGCCUGAUCCAGCCAUACCGCGUGGGUGAAGAAGGCCUUCGGGUUGUAAGGCCCUUUUGUUGGGAAAGAAAAGCAGCAGGUUAAUACCCCGCUGUUCUGACGGUACCCAAAGAAUAAGCACCGGCUAACUUCGUG